ACGCUAGCUACAGGCUUAACACAUGCAAGUCGAGGGGAAACGGCAUUGAGUGCUUGCACUCUUUGGACGUCGACCGGCGCACGGGUGAGUAACGCGUAUCCAACCUUCCCAUUACUGUGGGAUAACCUGCCGAAAGGCAGACUAAUACCGCAUAGUCUUCGAUGACGGCAUCAGAUUUGAAGUAAAGAUUUAUCAGUAAUGGAUGGGGAUGCGUCUGAUUAGCUUGUUGGCGGGGUAACGGCCCACCAAGGCAACGAUCAGUAGGGGUUCUGAGAGGAAGGUCCCCCACAUUGGAACUGAGACACGGUCCAAACUCCUACGGGAGGCAGCAGUAAGGAAUAUUGGUCAAUGGACGGAAGUCUGAACCAGCCAAGUAGCGUGCAGGAUGACGGCCCUAUGGGUUGUAAACUGCUUUUGUAUGGGGAUAAAGUUAGGGACGUGUCCCUAUUUGCAGGUACCAUGCGAAUAAGGACCGGCUAAUUCCGUGCCAGCAGCCGCGGUAAUACGGAAGGUCCAGGCGUUAUCCGGAUUUAUUGGGUUUAAAGGGAGCGUAGGCUGGAGAUUAAGUGUGUUGUGAAAUGUAGACGCUCAACGUCUGAAUUGCAGCGCAUACUGGUUUCCUUGAGUACGCACAACGUUGGCGGAAUUCGUCGUGUAGCGGUGAAAUGCUUAGAUAUGACGAAGAACUCCGAUUGCGAAGGCAGCUGACGGGAGCGCAACUGACGCUUAAGCUCGAAGGUGCGGGUAUCAAACAGGAUUAGAUACCCUGGUAGUCCGCACAGUAAACGAUGGAUGCCCGCUGUUGGUACCUGGUAUCAGCGGCUAAGCGAAAGCAUUAAGCAUCCCACCUGGGGAGUACGCCGGCAACGGUGAAACUCAAAGGAAUUGACGGGGGCCCGCACAAGCGGAGGAACAUGUG
rnacentral:rRNA from 1 species